UAGGGAAUCUUCGGCAAUGGGGGCAACCUUGACCGAGCAACGCCGCGUGAGUGAAGCAGGUUUUCGGAUCGUAAAGCUCUGUUGUAAGAGAAGAACGUGUGUGAGAGUGGAAAGUUCACACAGUGACGGUAACUUACCAGAAAGGGACGGCUAACUACGUGCCAGCAGCCGCGGUAAUACGUAGGUCCCGAGCGUUGUCCGGGUUUAUUGGGCGUAAAGCGAGCGCAGGCGGUUUAAUAAGUCUGAAGUUAAAGGCAGUGGCUUAACCAUUGUUCGCUUUGCAAACUGUUAAACUUGAGUGCAGAAGGGGAGAGUGGAAUUCCAUGUGUAGCGGUGAAAUGCGUAGAUAUAUGGAGGAACACCGGUGGCGAAAGCGGCUCUCUGGUCUGUAACUGACGCUGAGGCUCGAAAGCGUUGGGAGCAAACAGG
rnacentral:rRNA from 1 species